rnacentral:rRNA from 1 species
CGAGUAACGCCGCGUGGGGGACGACGGCCUUUUGGGUUGUAAAACUCCUUUUCUUGUGGGACGAUGAUGACGGUACCACAGGAAGAAGCCCCGGCUAACUACGUGC